AUGUCAAGGGACCUAACGCCCCCAGCCUGUACCGUUGACGCCAGGCAGGAUGGGACCAUGGACUCAUGCUGCUUACGACUAAUCCUGACUCUACCAUCAGCCUGUACCGUUGACGCCAGGCAGGAUGGGACCAUGGACUCAUGCUGCUUACGACUAAUCCUGACUCUACCAUCAGCCUGUACCGUUGACGCCAGGCAGGAUGGGACCAUGGACUCAUGCUGCUUACGACUAAUCCUGACUCUACCAUCAGCCUGUACCGUUGACGCCAGGCAGGAUGGGACCAUGGACUCAUGCUGCUUACGACUAAUCCUGACUCUACCAUCAGCCUGUACCGUUGACGCCAGGCAGGAUGGGACCAUGGACUCAUGCUGCUUACGACUAAUCCUGACUCUACCAUCAGCCUGUACCGUUGACGCCAGGCAGGAUGGGACCAUGGACUCAUGCUGCUUACGACUAAUCCUGACUCUACCAUCAGCCUGUACCGUUGACGCCAGGCAGGAUGGGACCAUGGACUCAUGCUGCUUACGACUAAUCCUGACUCUACCAUCAGCCUGUACCGUUGACGCCAGGCAGGAUGGGACCAUGGACUCAUGCUGCUUACGACUAAUCCUGACUCUACCAUCAGCCUGUACCGUUGACGCCAGGCAGGAUGGGACCAUGGACUCAUGCUGCUUACGACUAAUCCUGACUCUACCAUCAGCCUGUACCGUUGACGCCAGGCAGGAUGGGACCAUGGACUCAUGCUGCUUACGACUAAUCCUGACUCUACCAUCAGCCUGUACCGUUGACGCCAGGCAGGAUGGGACCAUGGACUCAUGCUGCUUACGACUAAUCCUGACUCUACCAUCAGCCUGUACCGUUGACGCCAGGCAGGAUGGGACCAUGGACUCAUCCUGCUUACGACUAAUCCUGACUCUACCAUCAGCCUGUACCGUUGACGCCAGGCAGGAUGGGACCAUGGACUCAUGCUGCUUACGACUAAUCCUGACUCUGGCAUCAAGACGACGCAACAGAAAUAGGGAUUCGUCGGACCAGGCGAUGUUUUUCCACUCCUCAGUUGUCCAGUGUUGGUGA
rnacentral:lncRNA from 1 species